GAUGAACGCUAGCUACAGGCUUAACACAUGCAAGUCGCGGGGCAGCAUGGGGGUUGCUUGCAAUCCCUGAUGGCGACCGGCGCACGGGUGAGUAACGCGUAUCCAACCUGCCCUUCACCACGGGAUAACCCGGCGAAAGUCGGACUAAUACCGUAUGUAGUCCAUUGACGGCAUCCGAUUUGGACGAAAGGCUUAGCGGUGAGGGAUGGGGAUGCGUCCGAUUAGCUUGACGGCGGGGUAACGGCCCACCGUGGCAACGAUCGGUAGGGGUUCUGAGAGGAAGGUCCCCCACACUGGAACUGAGACACGGUCCAGACUCCUACGGGAGGCAGCAGUGAGGAAUAUUGGUCAAUGGGCGGAAGCCUGAACCAGCCAAGUAGCGUGCAGGAUGACGGCCCUAUGGGUUGUAAACUGCUUUUAUGCGGGGAUAAAAGAAUUCACGUGUGGAUUUUUGCAGGUACCGCAUGAAUAAGGACCGGCUAAUUCCGUGCCAGCAGCCGCGGUAAUACGGAAGGUCCGGGCGUUAUCCGGAUUUAUUGGGUUUAAAGGGAGCGUAGGCCGCCCCUUAAGCGUGUUGUGAAAUGCGGGUGCUCAACAUCCGACUUGCAGCGCGAACUGGGGGGCUUGAGUGCGCCGAAAGUAGGCGGAAUUCGUGGUGUAGCGGUGAAAUGCUUAGAUAUCACGAAGAACUCCGAUUGCGAAGGCAGCUUACUGUAGCGCAACUGACGCUGAUGCUCGAAAGCGUGGGUAGCAAACAGG
rnacentral:rRNA from 1 species